CGGGGUGAGUAACGCGUGGAUAACCUGCCUCACACUGGGGGAUAACAGUUAGAAAUGACUGCUAAUACCGCAUAAGCGCACAGUACCGCAUGGUACGGUGUGAAAAACUCCGGUGGUGUGAGAUGGAUCCGCGUCUGAUUAGCUAGUUGGUAAGGUAACGGCUUACCAAGGCGACGAUCAGUAGCCGACCUGAGAGGGUGACCGGCCACAUUGGGACUGAGACACGGCCCAA
rnacentral:rRNA from 1 species